rnacentral:rRNA from 1 species
UACGUAGGGUGCAAGCGUUAAUCGGAAUUACUGGGCGUAAAGCGUGCGCAGGCGGUUUUGUAAGUCUGACGUGAAAGCCCCGGGCUCAACCUGGGAACUGCAUUUGAAACUGGCGGGCUUGAGUGCGGCAGAGGGGGGUGGAAUUCCGCGUGUAGCAGUGAAAUGCGUAGAGAUGCGGAGGAACACCGAUGGCGAAGGCAGCCCCCUGGGCCGACACUGACGCUCAGGCACGAAAGCGUGGGGAGCAAACAGG